rnacentral:rRNA from 1 species
CCACAGGAUUACCGAAUUCAGUCAAACUCCGAAUGCCAAUCACUUAUCCUCGGGAGUCAGACUGCGAGUGCUAAGAUCCGUAGUCAAGAGGGAAACAGCCCAGACCAUCAGCUAAGGUCCCCAAGUAUACGUUAAGUGGAGAAGGAUGUGGAGUUGCUUAGACAACCAGGAUGUUGGCUUAGAAGCAGCCACCAUUGAAAGAGUGCGUAAUAGCUCACUGGUCGAGUGACUCUGCGCCGAAAAUGUACCGGGGCUAAACGUAUCACCGAAGCUAUGGAUUGUCCUUACGGACAGUGGUAGGGGAGCGUUCCAAGGGCUGUGAAGCAUGACCGGAAGGACAUGUGGAGCGUUUGGAAGUGAGAAUGCCGGUAUGAGUAGCGAAAAGAGGGGUGAGAAUCCCCUCCGUCGAAAGCCUAAGGUUUCCUGAGGAAGGCUCGUCCGCUCAGGGUUAGUCGGGACCUAAGCCGAGGCCGAAAGGCGUAGGCGAUGGAAAACAGGUGGAAAUUCCUGUACCACCACGUCACCAUUUGAGCAAUGGGGGGACGCAGGAAGGCAGGGAAUCGCGCUGAUGGAUAUGCGCGUCCAAGCAGUUAGGCUGGCAAACAGGCAAAUCCGUUUGCCAUAAGGCUGAGCUGUGAUGGCGAGGGAAAUUUAAGUACCGAAGUUCCUGUACCUACACUGCCUAGAAAAGCCUCUAGCGAGGUGACUGGUGCCCGUACCGCAAACCGACACAGGUAGGCGGGAAGAGAAUUCUAAGACGCGCGGGAGAACUCUCGUUAAGGAACUCGGCAAAAUGACCCCGUAACUUCGGGAGAAGGGGUGCUCUGAUAGGGUGCAAGCCCGAGAGAGCCGCAGUGAAUAGGCCCAAACGACUGUUUAUCAAAAACACAGGUCUCUGCCAAGCCGCAAGGCGACGUAUAGGGGCUGACACCUGCCCGGUGCUGGAAGGUUAAGAGGAGGGGUUAUCCCGUAAGGGAGAAGCUCUGAAUUGAAGCCCCAGUAAACGGCGGCCGUAACUAUAACGGUCCUAAGGUAGCGAAAUUCCUUGUCGGGUAAGUUCCGACCCGCACGAAAGGUGCAACGAUUUGGGCACUGUCUCAACGAGAGACCCGGUGAAAUUAUAUUACCUGUGAAGAUGCAGGUUACCCGCGACAGGACGGAAAGACCCCAUGGAGCUUUACUGCAGCUUGAUAUUGGAUUUUGGUACAGCUUGUACAGGAUAGGUAGGAGCCUUGGAAACCGGAGCGCCAGCUUCGGUGGAGGCAUUGGUGGGAUACUACCCUGGCUGUACUGAAAUUCUAACCUCGGACCGUGAUCCGGUUCAGGGACAGUGUCAGGCGGGCAGUUUGACUGGGGCGGUCGCCUCCUAAAAGGUAACGGAGGCGCCCAAAGGUUCCCUCAGAAUGGUUGGAAAUCAUUCGCAGAGUGCAAAGGCAUAAGGGAGCUUGACUGCGAGACAUACAGGUCGAGCAGGGACGAAAGUCGGGCUUAGUGAUCCGGCGGCACCGUAUGGAAGGGCCGUCGCUCAACGGAUAAAAGCUACCCUGGGGAUAACAGGCUAAUCUCCCCCAAGAGUCCACAUCGACGGGGAGGUUUGGCACCUCGAUGUCGGCUCAUCGCAUCCUGGGGCUGAAGUAGGUCCCAAGGGUUGGGCUGUUCGCCCAUUAAAGCGGUACGCGAGCUGGGUUCAGAACGUCGUGAGACAGUUCGGUCCCUAUCCGUCGCGGGCGCAGGAAAUUUGAGAGGAGCUGUCCUUAGUACGAGAGGACCGGGAUGGACACACCGCUGGUGUACCAGUUGUUCCGCCAGGAGCAUCGCUGGGUAGCUACGUGUGGAAGGGAUAAGUGCUGAAAGCAUCUAAGCAUGAAGCCCCCCUCAAGAUGAGAUUUCCCAUCACUUUAU